UGGGGAAUAUUGGACAAUGGGCGAAAGCCUGAUCCAGCCAUGCCGCGUGUGUGAAGAAGGUCUUCGGAUUGUAAAGCACUUUAAGUUGGGAGGAAGGGCAGUUACCUAAUACGUGAUUGUUUUGACGUUACCGACAGAAUAAGCACCGGCUAACUCUGUGCCAGCAGCCGCGGUAAUACAGAGGGUGCAAGCGUUAAUCGGAAUUACUGGGCGUAAAGCGCGCGUAGGUGGUUAGUUAAGUUGGAUGUGAAAUCCCCGGGCUCAACCUGGGAACUGCAUUCAAAACUGACUGACUAGAGUAUGGUAGAGGGUGGUGGAAUUUCCUGUGUAGCGGUGAAAUGCGUAGAUAUAGGAAGGAACACCAGUGGCGAAGGCGACCACCUGGACUGAUA
rnacentral:rRNA from 1 species